GACAGAGGGUGCAAACGUUGUUCGGAAUUACUGGGCGUAAAGCGUGUGUAGGCGGCUUUGCAAGUCGGAUGUGAAAUCCCCGGGCUCAACCCGGGAAGUGCACCCGAAACUGCAGGGCUCGAGUACCGGAGAGGUUGGUGGAAUUCUCGGUGUAGAGGUGAAAUUCGUAGAUAUCGAGAGGAACACCGGUGGCGAAGGCGGCCAACUGGACGAGUACUGACGCUGAGACGCGAAAGCGUGGGGAGCAAACAGG
rnacentral:rRNA from 1 species